GGAUAGGCGAUGACGACUGAGCUCCGCGCGGCGGAGGUCCUCGUCUCCGUGCGGUGAUGGUGGCCCCCGUGGGGUGAUGGCUGCACAGCCCGCUUCUGGGAAGAACUGGGAAUGGACAUCUCAUCGAGCGACACAGAUAGCGUGCUUCUACGGAUCUCUCGACCACAGGCGAUGAUGCCAGAGAAGCACUUCAGUACCUUCAUCUUGCUGUGCUGUUGGGAGCUGUGGAAACGCCGCAACAAUGUGGUGUUUCGGGGAGAAAGAGCGACGAUUCAAGAGACGCUGAGGGCCUGCCGAGCAGAUGUAGAGCUAUGGAAACAUAGACUACGCCAAGAAGACCGCUGGGUAGUGGCGGCCUGGUGCGCGAGGCUGCAUAAUGGCUAGAUAAGCUAAAAAUGUGUUUGGUGUUGGAAUUGAGUGGGUGACACUUUUGGCAAGUGUUCGCCAACUGUAAAACUUUCCUGAAUUCAGCCAUUUGGGGCAAUUUGGCAAUACAAUCAGGUGGGGAUCCUCUCCCCCC